UACAGAGGGGGCAAGCGUUGUUCGGAAUUACUGGGCGUAAAGGGCGCGUAGGCGGCCCGCUAAGUCGAACGUGAAAUCCCCGGGCUCAACCCGGGAACUGCGUCCGAUACUGGUGGGCUUGAAUCCGGGAGAGGGAUGCGGAAUUCCAGGUGUAGCGGUGAAAUACGUAGAUAUCUGGAGGAACACCGGUGGCGAAGGCGGCAUCCUGGACCGGCAUUGACGCUGAGGCGCGAAAGCCAGGGGAGCAAACGGG
rnacentral:rRNA from 1 species